UAGCAGCUUUAGCAAGCAGUCUCCUCCCUUUAGUAACCGGCGUGGGCAGGGCCACGAGAAACAGCUAGGCCCACCUCCUCGCCACUCAGUUUGGUUUGGCGAGUUAUUCUCUGUGACCUACCCAUGGAAAGGAGGGAUACUGAGAGUGAAAAUCCUUUUUGUGUGCCCCAGCGAGGAUUAUGAAACCAAUCAUGAAUAUCAAAAGCCACAGCUUAAACCAUCAAUUUGGGACAGAUGCCGUGCAGCAAUGGAUGCAACGGAAAAUGCAGCAGACACAGCAAGAAUAAAGACUGAAGGUUUCUAUUCCAUUCAGUGAUUUUCUCCCUGCCUUCUUUUUCCAUUCUUAGCAAACAAAACAUGUUGGAUUGAACUGGGCUAGCUGCACGAUAGAUACUUCAGGUAAGAAUCACUUCUUUAAAACUCCCAUAACUUUUUUUCUGCUGCUUACUCUGAAUUCUGAUAAACUAUUUUACAUUUUGGGAAUGCAUGGACAUUUCUUUGUGGACCUGUGUAUGCCCAACAGUAACAUUUGAGAGUGUAGAGAUACAGAAAGAAAGGUGUUGAUCUGUUAAUCUCAGAACCUAAUCAGAAAUAUAGAUAAUAAUAAUAAUAUGUGCAGGUAGUCCCGGUGGUGAUCGGCACAUUGGGUGCCGUACCAAAAGAUCUCAGCCGGCAUUUGGAAACAAUAGACAUGGAUAAAAUCACGAUCUGCCAACUGCAAAAGGCCACCCUACUGGGAUCUGCACGCAUCAUCCGAAAAUACAUCACACAGUCCUAGACACUUGGGAAGUGUUCGACUUGUGAUUUUGUGAUACGAAAUCCAGCAUAUCUAUCUUGUUUGCUGUGUCAUAAAAUAAUAAUAAUAAUAAUAAUAAUAAUAAUAAUAAUAAUAAUAAUAAUAAUAAUAAUAAUUUGAGACACGUGUAUGUUUGAGGAUUUAUGCAACAGGCAUGAAUAUGACAUUUUAGUUGAAAAUCUCACAUCUUGCGCUAGUGCAACAAAGUUACCUAGAACAAUGCAAUCUAUAACUUGAAGUCUGCACUGUCUCAUAGCUUUUCACCUUAUGUAAAUACUUAACAAUAUGUAUUUUGAAAUAAAAUUUCAUAUUUAGUUUGUUUGUUUUUUCCACUGGAGAAGGCCCAUCUCAUUAAUGUAUCACAUUUCAAAUUUAAUUAAAAUAAAAGACCUUUGGUACAAUGCCUUUGUUCCCAAUCCUGUUGCAGCUUAAGCACAUGCAAUUGAAAUAACUAUUUAUUAUGUUUACUUCCAUGUCUCUACUUUCUUCAGCUGUUCCCCAUAUGACUUUUGCACUGCAGCAGGGCCCUAUCCUUUCUUACUCAGUAAAGCUCUGUGCAUACUAAGGGAAUUCUCUAAAUAAAAUAAAAAUACUAAUCACAUUUGUUUGGCCCCAGCCACCACAUCCACCAUUGUAAUAUGCCCUA
rnacentral:lncRNA from 1 species